rnacentral:rRNA from 1 species
CAAUAGCGUAUAUUAAAGUUGUUGCAGUUAAAAAGCUCGUAGUCGGAUUUUGGCAUCAUGCCGAACUGUCAGCCGAUUGGUUUGUACGGUUUGGCGGGUGCUCUCCUUCCGGAGGCUCGUUUCCUCUUUCAUUAGAGGGUUCGAUGGUUCCGGGUCUUUUACUUUGAAAAAAUUAGAGUGUUCAAAGCAGGCGAUCGCUUGAAUACAUUAGCAUGGAAUAAUAGAAUAGGACUUUGGUUCUAUUUUGUUGGUUUCUAGGACCGAAGUAAUGAUUAAUAGGGACAGUUGGGGGCAUUAGUAUUUAAUUGUCAGAGGUGAAAUUCUUGGAUUUAUGAAAGACUAACUACUGCGAAAGCAUUUGCCAAGGAUGUUUUCAUUAAUCAAGAACGAAAGUUAGGGGAUCGAAGAUGAUUAGAUACCGU